CAGCUAAGGAUCUCACGCAUCAUUGCCAUUGCCGUAUGGGGACUCAUCGCGCUGGGGCUGCUGGCCUGGGGACCUGCUAUAGCUCCUCCUGGCAGGAGGUGGUGGUGGCGACCUGCUCAGGUCACGGGCUGGCGGUGGCGAUCUGCUGUUGUUCCGCGGAGGUGGUGGAGGUGGCGACUUGCUGUAGCUGCGCGCUCGAGCUGGUGGAGGUGACCUGCUGAGACUCCGUGCACGAGGUGGCGGUGGAGACCUGCUGUCACUCCGCCUCCUAGGAGAACGAUCCCGUGGGCUGUAGCUCCU
rnacentral:lncRNA from 1 species